GAGAACCUCUGUUACUGAGUGGAUUUGUGCUGGGAUAAUGAUGGGAGAGACUGGGAGGGAGAGCUGAGAUCUGCGCCUGAGCGGCUCUCUAAUCAUUUUCCAAAGGAACCUGACAACUAUCCAUUUAUCUCUGUCAGAUUUGUGGCUUGGAUGUUUCCCAAACAAAUGCUUAUCUCCAUCUUUAUCCUGCUUCUGCUCAGGAUCAUUACAUUGAUCAACACCAUCUGAAGUCCCAUGUAGGCACUCUUCUACAGGGGUCCACACUUCCCGUAUAAACAAAGACAAACCACAACGAGGUAAAGCCAUGAUUCCUGUGGUCCAAAAGACUAACAAUAAGGAACGGAAAUGAUAAAACCAAGGAACA